UUAAACAUUAGACUUCUUCAAACAUUAAAAUGACUAAAUAUGAGAUAGGUAGAUAAUAUAAUAUAAAAAAAUAACUUUUUUCACUGUCAUAUUGUUUCCUUUUCAUUAACCCAUCAAUUAGAAUUCGUAUUUUUAAAGACCAGGAUGUGUUAUGCACCUCCAUGUGACACUUAUGAUGUCAGUUUGUUUUUGUUUUGCCGGCCAUCUGCUCACUUGUCCCUUUAAGUGGGCCGUGUCGCCGGCAUCACAAGAGGGUUUGCAUAAUGGAUUGCCUAUCCUACACAGAGCUCUCUGACACGAUUAAGCAUCCAGUCUCUGAUAUAAGUAUGAGGCCUCAUCCAGACAAGAAGGGCAGGAACCGAAGGAAGAGAAACGAGGGAGAAAGGCUUUUUAAGUCUUGAGUCAGGAGUGAGCAGGCAGGCACAAGAUCCAUGAGCGAGGAGUAGUUGUAGCUGUGCUGUUUGGGCCCAGGUUAGCUGUAGCGAUUGCAAGACCUCCUUCUCCCUUCACCCUUCCACAGGGGUCAGCAUGCUGCACCCCAUCAUGAUCGGCAUAGUCACCCUCAACACCUCCAUCACCCUCAUAUACUGGGCCUUCAUUCUCAUAGAGGCCUUCCACAAGAAGGUGGAGGACGAGCCUGCCAAAGACAACCCCGCCUAAACUAUCCGUAACCUUAACAGCCACUUGGCACACCACACAGAUCCUGGAGAACUGUGGACAAAAUAUUUCUAUUUGAGUGAGUAGAGUAGACGGUUUCGUAGUGGUUUUUUUUUUCCAGGAUGCACCUGGACAAAACAACCAAAGGAAAAAACUACCAGUUUAUUAAAGCUUUGUGGUAUCUAACCUUUGUGGAUUAUGCAUUUUCCAAGAGCGAGCCAUCAGGUCUAUUUUUCAUCGUCCAGACAUUAGGGGAGAAAGCUUUACGGCAGCUGUCACGCAGGAGGAAAAUAAUACGUUAUAGAAAAUCUCCUCUCCCUGAAUCCUGGAAAGAAGGACCUGAAAGCAUGUUGGAAAGUGCAUGGGCAGAUUACCUGUCGUUACCAGGCCAAAGAAGAUCUUUCAAUAAGGUUGGGCCCUUGGACUGAACCACGUGGAGAAAGAUUUGUAUGACCAGCUAGGAGAGGAUGAGAGGGGGAGGAGGAAGAGGAAGAUGAAGAAGAAGAGGAGUCAGAAGGACGCCAAGAUGCUGGAGGAGAACCAACAGCCUCUACCAGGAUUUCAGAUUGUGAUGUGAAUCUGCACUUUAGAUUUCCUUUUCCACAAAUAUUUUCCCUGUAUGAAGAAAAAAAAGAUCUUGGACUGUCCCAACUAUAUUGGCUCUGCCCUCAGUCUUUCAUUGUAAAGAUUCUCUGAUUUAUUAUCUUUAUAAUACUUUCACACUUAUUAUUAUUAUUAUUAUUAUUAUAUUUCAUUUAAUGUAUUGGUCAAUAUCCCACUAUCAUAGCAUCAGACACCCUGUGUAAUCUAAAAGACUGUCCCUAUAACAACAUUCAUUCUUUUUCAAGCAAAGGGUUAUAUGUAUCUCAGCUGUUAUACUGUAUAUGCCUAUAUCUUCAUGGUGGCAAAUACAGCCCCACUGGACUGCAGUGCAUAUCUCCUUCAUGGUUCAUUCAUACAUUUUACAGCGAGUCUAUGUCUGAAAACCUACUAAACAUUGAGUGCCAUUCUAUUGCCCAAACUCGGCAGCCUACCCCAUUUCAAAUUAUGUAUUCAUUAUUGAAUAAAAACUGA